rnacentral:rRNA from 1 species
GAUGAACGCUGACAGAAUGCUUAACACAUGCAAGUCUACUUGAUCCUUCGGGUGAUGGUGGCGGACGGGUGAGUAACGCGUAAAGAACUUGCCUUGCAGUCUGGGACAACGUCUGGAAACGGACGCUAAUACCGGAUAUUAUGAUUGAAUCGCAUGAUUUAAUUAUGAAAGCUAUAUGCGCUGCGAGAGAGCUUUGCGUCCCAUUAGUUAGUUGGUGAGGUAACGGCUCACCAAGACGAUGAUGGGUAGCCGGCCUGAGAGGGUGAACGGCCACAAGGGGACUGAGACACGGCCCUUACUCCUACGGGAGGCAACAGUGGGGAAUAUUGGACAAUGGACCAAAAGUCUGAUCCAGCAAUUCUGUGUGCACGAUGAAGUUUUUCGGAAUGUAAAGUGCUUUCAGUUGGGAAGAAGAAAGUGACGGUACCAACAGAAGAAGCGACGGCUAAAUACGUGCCAGCAGCCGCAGUAA